AAAAUGACCCCGUAACUUCGGGAGAAGGGGUGCCUCGCACGCCUGGAUUCAUUCAGGCAAGUGAUCGAGGCCUCAGAUAAACGGCCCAAGCGACUGUUUAACAAAAACACAGGUCUCUGCGAAGGGGAAACCCUACGUAUAGGGGCUGACACCUGCCCAGUGCCGGAAGGUUAAUGGGAGAGCUGCAAGGCUUGAACUGAAGCCCCGGUGAACGGCGGCCGUAACUAUAACGGUCCUAAGGUGGAAAACGCUGCCUUAGAGAAAUCCGACCAAAUGCUGGAAUCCCUGGCGAAUCCUCCGGUGCUCGCUCAAGCCGCCGCCGAUCUGGUAGGUGGAUGAGCAGCGACAAUCCGAGGGGCGUUCUUCGCGAAGGCGAGGAGCCAGACAAUCAGCAGGAAAGACCGGACCGCAAAAGCGGUUCCGGAAUCCUCAGAGACCAUACGUCGGACGUCCGAGUGUUCGGACGAAGAUAUGGUCCCAGCUGCAUGGCGACAUGCAGGGUCACAACGUGCAAGGACGUCAUGACCACCCUGUCGAUUCGAAUCGGCAGGGCAAGAUCGCUAAGCGAAAUUCCUUGUCGGGUAAGCCAAAGAACUUGCCCCCGAGCGGAGUGAUCCGCUCGGCUCACGCCGGCUCAUAUCGGCGGAUCCCCACCGUGCCUGCGGAAGCACGAGGGAAAUGCCGAGGGAAGUCCGAAAGGACCCCGUAACGACUGCUUCCUGGAGAAAGCGCUUCUCAGGAGCGGUGGCGCUCCGGCUCGAUCGAGCAAUCAAUGAGUGCCACAAGACGCUGGCCCUGCGAGAUCUGUCGCAGGUGAAUGCAUAGUCUGCGCCGCCGGUAACGGCGGAUCGAUCAAGCGAAGUUCCGACCCGCACGAAAGGCGUAACGACUUGGGCGCUGUCUCAACGAGGGACCCGGCGAAACUGAGAUACCCGUGAAGACGCGGGUUACGCACACUUGGACAAAAAGACCCCGUGGAGCUUUACUGCAUCUUGGCAUUGGAUUGGGGUCUCGCAUGUGUAGCAUAGGUGGGAGACUUUGAAGCUGGCGCGCUAGCGUCGGUGGAGUCACCAGUGAAAUACCACCCUUGCGCGACUUCGACUCUAACGGCUGUCCGUGAUCCGGCAGCCGGACAUUGCCAGGUGGGCAGUUUGACUGGGGCGGUCGCCUCCUAAAAAGUAACGGAGGCGCCCAAAGGUACCCUCAGGCUGGGUGGAAAUCAGCCGCAGAGUGCAAAGGCAUAAGGGUGCUUGACUGUGAGGCUUACUCGCCGAACAGGGACGAAAGUCGGGCUUAGUGACCUUCUGAUCCCGAGUGGAAGGGUCAGGAAUCAUCGGAUAAAAGCUACCCCGGGGAUAACAGGCUUAUCACGCCCAAGCGUUCACAGCGACGGCGUGGUUUGGCACCUCGAUGUCGGCUCGUCGCAUCCUGGGGGGGCAGUACCUCCCAAGGGUUGGGCUGUUCGCCCAUUAAAGCGGUACGCGAGCUGGGUUCAGAACGUUGUGAAACAGUUCGGUCUCUAUCCAGUGUGCGCGCAGGUGAGUUGCGAGGAGCUGCCCCCAGUACGAGAGGACCGGGGUGGGCUGACCUAUGGUGUACGAGUUGUCCUGCCAAGGGCACUGCUCGGUAGUUAUGUCGGUUCGCGAUAACCGCUGAAAGCAUCUAAGUGGGAAGCGCACCUUAAGAUGAACUCACCCUCUGAGUGAUCAGGUAAGACCGCAGGUAGAGAACCUGUUUGAUAGGCGGCAGGUGGAAGGCCCGCGAGGGUCGGAGCUGAGCCGUACUAACGGUCGAGGGCUUGACCUA
rnacentral:rRNA from 1 species